rnacentral:misc_RNA from 1 species
GAUGAAGAACGUAGCGAAAUGCGAUACGUAAUGUGAAUUGCAGAAUUCAGUGAAUCAUCGAGUCUUUGAACGCACAUUUCGCCCCCUGGUAUUCCGGGGGGCAUGCCUGUCCGAGCGUCAUUGCUGCCCUCAAGCACGGCUUGUGUGUUGGGCCUCCGUCCUCCUCCCGGGGGACGGGCCCGAAAGGCAGCGGCGGCACCGCGUCCGGUCCUCGAGCGUAUGGGGCUUCGUCACCCGCUCUUGUAGGCCCGGCCGGCGCUUGCCGACACAUCAAUCUUUUUUCCAGGUUGACCUCGGAUCAGGUAGGGAUACCCGCUGAACUUAAGCAUAUCAAUAAGCGGAGGA